rnacentral:rRNA from 1 species
AUUGAACGCUGGCGGCAUGCCUUACACAUGCAAGUCGAACGGCAGCACGGGGCAACCUGGUGGCGAGUGGCGAACGGGUGAGUAAUGCAUCGGAACGUACCUCUCAGUGGGGGAUAACGUAGCGAAAGUUACGCUAAUACCGCAUAUUCUGUGAGCAGGAAAGCAGGGGAUCGCAAGACCUUGCGCUGAUUGAGCGGCCGAUGUCAGAUUAGCUAGUUGGUGAGGUAAAGGCUCACCAAGGCGACGAUCUGUAGCGGGUCGGAGAGGAUGAUCCGCCACACUGGAACUGAGACACGGUCCAGACUCCUACGGGAGGCAGCAGUGGGGAAUUUUGGACAAUGGGGGCAACCCUGAUCCAGCCAUGCCGCGUGAGUGAAGAAGGCCUUCGGGUUGUAAAGCUCUUUCGGCCGGGAAGAAAUCGCACGGGCUAAUACCCUGUGUGGAUGACGGUACCGGAAUAAGAAGCACCGGCUAACUACGUGCCAGCAGCCGCAGUAACAC